GACGAACCGUGCGACCGUUGUUCGGAAUCACUGGGCUUAAAGGGUGCGUAGGCGGGCUCGUCAGUCGGGGGUGAAAUCCCACGGCCCAACCGUGGAAGUGCCUCCGAUACUGCGAGUCUAGAGGGGAACAGGGGCAUGCGGAACUUCCGGUGGAGCGGUGAAAUGCGUAGAUAUCGGAAGGAACACCGGUGGCGAAAGCGGCGUGCUGGAUUCCUACUGACGCUGAGGCACGAAAGCCAGGGGAGCAAACGGG
rnacentral:rRNA from 1 species